GAAGGUAGCUGUGCCAUAUGGGUUGUGAUAUAAUGGUUGCAGUCUCUGUCUAGGCUCUGGCUGUUGCUCCAUGAAAGAUUAACAUCUCCAAGAUCUGUGUCUGAUACAUAAAUUAUUCACGGAACUGUGUCACAUAAAGGAACAAUAAUCUACGUUCUCUGAUGAGCACUCUACUACAGAGCUUGACAGUGUUGAUCCUGGAUGAGCAGUCAUCCACAGCUUGACACAGUGAAAUAUCUUCAGAAGGAUGGGCUUAGAUAGCCUCAUUCCUGGUGCCCAACAUGGAAUAUGUGCACUGUUUGAAGAAGGUUCUUUUUAACUGACAAGCUGGUAUUUGACAGCCUCUACGACUUCAUCACCCACUACUGAGAAACACCAAUGAGGUACAACGGACUUGAGAUGAGGCUGACAGAGCCGGUGCCUCGGUCCAACACUCACAGCAAUGUGGACUGGGUGCCGCGGGACGGCACAAGAGGGACAAGCCCAGCUCCAGCACCAUCUACUUCGGGGCAGGAUGGAAGAUCCAGCACUGCUGCACGCAUUGGCAAGAGGGUCACGUUUAAUAAGGCACUUGACCAAGUGCAUAUUGUUCAUCACACAAAAUAAAAGUUCUUGUUCUGCACU